rnacentral:rRNA from 1 species
GAGCGAACGCUGGCGGCGUGCCUAACACAUGCAAGUCGAACGGGGUCCGCGGGGGCAACUCUGCGGACUUACGUGGCAAACGGGUGAGUAACGCGUGGGCAACCUGCCCGUGAGUGGGGAAUAACCCCGGGAAACUGGGGCUAAUACCGCAUACCUUCCGACCAAAUCGGAAGAAAGCCCGCAAGGGCGCUCGCGGAGGGGCCCGCGUCCGAUCAGCUUGUUGGUGAGGUAACGGCUCACCAAGGCGAGGACCGGUAGCCGGCCUGAGAGGGUGUACGGCCACACUGGGACUGCGACACGGCCCAGACUCCUACGGGAGGCAGCAGUGAGGAAUAUUGCGCAAUGGGGGAAACCCUGACGCAGCGACGCCGCGUGGAGGACGAAGCCCUUCGGGGUGUAAACUCCUUUCGACCCGGACGAAACCCCCGAGCAAUCGGGAUUGACGGUACGGGUAGAAGAAGCCCCGGCUAACUACGUGCCAGCAGCCGCGGUAAUACGUAGGGGGCAAGCGUUGCUCGGAAUUACUGGGCGUAAAGGGUCCGUAGGCGGCUCGGUGUGUCCGUCGUGAAAUCUUCGGGCUUAACUCGAAGUGGUCGACGGAAACUGCCGGGCUAGAGGGCCGGAGAGGGGCGUGGAAUUGCGGGUGUAGCGGUGAAAUGCGUAGAGAUCCGCAGGAACACCGGCGGCGAAGGCGGCGCCCUGGACGGCUCCUGACGCUGAGGGACGAAAGCUGGGGGAGCAAACAGGAUUAGAUACCCUGGUAGUCCCAGCCCUAAACGAUGGUCACUGGGUGUGUCCCGCGGACGCGGGACGUGCCGGCGCUAACGCAUUAAGUGACCCGCCUGGGGAGUACGGUCGCAAGACUGAAACUCAAAGGAAUUGACGGGGGCCCGCACAAGCGGUGGAGCAUGUGGUUCAAUUCGACGCAACGCGAAGAACCUUACCUGGGCUUGAAGAGCACGGGACCAGGCCGCGAAAGUGGCCCUUCCCGCAAGGGACUCGUGCAGAGGUGCUGCAUGGCUGUCGUCAGCUCGUGUCGUGAGAUGUUGGGUUAAGUCCCGCAACGAGCGCAACCCUUGUCCGUAGUUGCCAGCCCCGACGCAAGUCGGGGGGAACUCUACGGAGACUGCCCGUGAUAAACGGGAGGAAGGUGGGGAUGACGUCAAGUCAGCAUGGCCUUUAUGUCCAGGGCUACACACGUGCUACAAUGCGCGCUACAAAGGGUUGCCAACCCGCAAGGGGGAGCCAAUCCCAAAAAAGCGCGCUCAGUUCGGAUUGCCGUCUGCAACUCGACGGCAUGAAGCCGGAAUCGCUAGUAAUGGCGCAUCAGCACGGCGCCGUGAAUACGUUCCCGGGCCUGUACUCACC